rnacentral:rRNA from 1 species
GACAGAGGGUGCAAACGUUGUUCGGAAUUACUGGGCGUAAAGCGCACGUAGGCGGCUUUGCAAGUUAGGGGUGAAAGCCCGGGGCUCAACUCCGGAAUUGCCUUUAAAACUGCAUCGCUAGAAUCGUGGAGAGGUGAGUGGAAUUCCGAGUGUAGAGGUGAAAUUCGUAGAUAUUCGGAGGAACACCAGUGGCGAAGGCGACUCACUGGACACGUAUUGACGCUGAGGUGCGAAAGCGUGGGGAGCAAACAGG